rfam:Ornithorhynchus anatinus chromosome 11, whole genome shotgun sequence.
GUCCUCUCAGGGUCGCACCUGGGGGGUUUCCAGUGCUCUACCAGUCUCGACUAUGGGAGGGAGAGUCAAGCAGAGGCAGAUCCGUUCCAUUUCUAGCUUGGGCAGUGGCUAGGGAAUGGAAGCAACCUGCUACAAGU